UACGAAGGGUGCAAGCGUUACUCGGAAUUACUGGGCGUAAAGCGUGCGUAGGUGGUUUGUUAAGUCCGUUGUGAAAGCCCCGAGCUCAACUUGGGAAUUGCAGUGGAUACUGGCAGGCUGGAGUACGGUAGAGGAAGGUGGAAUUCCCGGUGUAGCAGUGAAAUGCGUAGAUAUCGGGAGGAACACCAGUGGCGAAGGCGGCCUUCUGGACCAGUACUGACGCUCAUGCACGAAAGCGUGGGGAGCAAACAGG
rnacentral:rRNA from 1 species